CAGGUCACUCCUACGGGAGGCAGCAGUGGGGAAUUUUGCGCAAUGGGCGAAAGCCUGACGCAGCGACGCCGCGUGUGCGAUGAAGUCCCUUGGGACGUAAACUCCUUUCGACCCGGACGAUAAUGACGGUACGGGUGGAAGAAGCCCCGGCUAACUUCGUGCCAGCAGCCGCGGUAAUACGAGGGGGGCAAGCGUUGUUCGGAAUUAUUGGGCGUAAAGGGCGUGUAGGCGGUGCGGUAAGUCUGUGGUGAAAUCUCCGGGCUCAACCUGGGAACUGCAUCUGUGACUGCAUAGCUAGAGUACGGUAGAGGGGGAUGGAAUUCCGCGUGUAGCAGUGAAAUGCGUAGAUAUCGGGAGGAACACCAGAGGCGAAGGCGGGCUACUGGGCUGAUACUGACGCUGAUGCGCGAAAGCUAGGGGAGCAAACAGGAUUAGAUACCCUGGUAGUCCACGCCGUAAACGAUGGAUGCUAGCCGUUGGCAGGCUUGCCUGUCAGUGGCGCAGCUAACGCAUUAAGCAUCCCGCCUGGGGAGUACGGUCGCAAGGCUGAAACUUAAAGGAAUUGACG
rnacentral:rRNA from 1 species